UACGUAGGGGGCAGCGUUGUCCGGAUUUACUGGGCGUAAAGAGCGCGCAGGCGGUCGAAUAAGUCGAAUGUGAAAGCCCCCGGCUUAACUGGGGAGGGUCAUUCGAUACUGCUCGACUUGAAGGCAGGAGAGGGUAGUGGAAUUCCCGGUGUAGUGGUGAAAUUCGUAGAUAUUCGGAAGAACACCAGUGGCGAAGGCGACUUACUGGACACAUAUUGACGCUGAGGUGCGAAAGCGUGGGGAGCAAAC
rnacentral:rRNA from 1 species